rnacentral:lncRNA from 10 species
GAAAUACUGGCCCCCAUGAUUCAAUUACCUCCUGCUGGGUCCCUCCCACAACAUGUGGGAUUUCUGGGAUACAAUUCAAGUUGAGAUUUGGUGGGGAUGCAGUCAAACCACAUCAGCUCCCAUUUUGCAAGUGAGGAAAUCAAGACUCAGAGGGGUGAGGUUGCUUGCUUGGGAUUGCACGGAUCAGUCGGUGGUAGAGUUACGAUCCAAAUCCAGGCUUUAGUUGCCUGCUUCCAGUUCUUUCCACGUGGCUCUAGGAACCAGCAUUAACAGCCUGAGGCCGUGGAGCAUGGUAGGGACUCAGGAGCCAGACUGCCAUCUGCAAAAUCCGUCUCUGUGUGAAGGUGUCCCAACCGAGGUCCCAGACAUGGGAAUGAGGACUUCUGAGACCAUCAGCCCCUGCCACGCCACCGGCUGACUGCAGUUGCAUGAGUGAGGCAGAAGACACCAGCAGGAGAACCUUCCAAGGCAACCCAUAGAAUUGUGGGAAAUAAAUUGCUGUUUUAAGCCACUAAGUUUUGGGCUGGCUUGUUUACAGCAGUGGGUAACUGACAGAGCAUCCAAACCUGACUUCCCACCUUACUCACCAUUGCUGCAGAUUCCUGGACAUGUCACUCCCGUGUGUGACAAGAGCUCCAGGUGGUUCUGCU